CGCGGGGUGGAGCAGCCUGGUAGCUCGUCGGGCUCAUAACCCGAAGGUCGUCGGUUCAAAUCCGGCCCCCGCAACCAAUU
rnacentral:tRNA from 1 species